rnacentral:rRNA from 1 species
UACGGAGGGGACUAGCGUUGUUCGGAAUUACUGGGCGUAAAGCGCACGUAGGCGGAUUGUUUAGUCAGGGGUGAAAUCCCGAAGGCUCAACCUCGGAACUGCCUUCGAUACUGCGGUCUCGGAGUCCGGGAGAGGUGAGUGGAAUUCCUAGUGUAGGAGGUGAAAUUCGUAGAUAUUAGGAAGAACACCAGUGGCGGAAGGCGGCUCACUGGCCCGGGUACUGACGCUGAGGCGCGAAAGGCGUGGGGAGCAAACAGG